rnacentral:rRNA from 1 species
GCACAAGCGGUGGAUGAUGUGGUUUAAUUCGAUGCAACGCGAAAACCUUACCCACCUUUGACAUGUACGGAAGCCUUUAGAGAUAGAGGCGUGCUCGAAAGAGAGCCGUAACACAGGUGCUGCAUGGCUGUCGUCAGCUCGUGUCGUGAGAUGUUGGGUUAAGUCCCGCAACGAGCGCAACCCUUGUCAUUAGUUGCUACAUUCAGUUGGGCACUCUAAUGAGACUGCCGGUGACGAGCCGGAGGAAGGUGGGGAUGACGUCAAGUCCUCAUGGCCCUUAUAGGUGGGGCUACACACGUCAUACAAUGGCUGGUACAAAGGGUUGCCAACCCGCGAGGGGGAGCUAAUCCCAUAAAGCCAGUCGUAGUCCGGAUCGUAGUCUGCAACUCGACUACGUGAAGUCGGAAUCGCUAGUAAUCGCGGAUCAGAACGCCGCGGUGAAUACGUUCCCGGGCCUU